rnacentral:rRNA from 1 species
AGAUUGAACGCUGGCGGCAUGCCUUACACAUGCAAGUCGAACGGCAGCCCGGGAGCAAUCCUGGUGACGAGUGGCGAACGGGUGAGUAAUACAUCGGAACGUGCCCAAUCGUGGGGGAUAACGCAGCGAAAGCUGUGCUAAUACCGCAUAAGAUCUACGGAUGAAAGCAGGGGAUCGCAAGACCUUGCGCGAAUGGAGCGGCCGAUGGCAGAUUAGGUAGUUGGUGAGGUAAAGGCUCACCAAGCCUUCGAUCUGUAGCUGGUCUGAGAGGACGACCAGCCACACUGGGACUGAGACACGGCCCAGACUCCUACGGGAGCAGCAGUGGGGAAUUUGGACAAGUGGGCGAAAGCC